rnacentral:rRNA from 1 species
AAAAUUUUAAAAGUCGAACAGACUUAAAAUUAUAACUUCUGCAUUAUAAAUUAAUUUUAAUCCAACAUCGAGGUCGCAAACUUUCUUAUAAAUAAGAACUCCCCAAGAAAAUUACG